ACGGAACCAGUUCCAAGCUGUGAUUGUCCAAACGCAAUUCUUGUGCGAUCGUUACCAAGAACUGUGUCGGGACAUCAGGGUUUGGAACUGAUUGCGACACA
rnacentral:pre_miRNA from 1 species